CCUACGGGAGGCAGCAGUAGGGAAUAUUGGACAAUGGGCGCAAGCCUGAUCCAGCCAUCCCGCGUGAAGGAUUAAGGCCCUCUGGGUUGUAAACUUCUUUUCUUUGGGAAUAAAAACUCCGAUUCAUCGGAGCUUGCAGGUACCAGAGGAAUAAGCACCGGCUAACUCCGUGCCAGCAGCCGCGGUAAUACGGAGGGUGCAAGCGUUAUCCGGAUUCACUGGGUUUAAGGGGUGUGUGGAUGGCUUUGGUGAAAGCCCGGAGCUCAACGCCGGAACUGCCAUUGAUACUGCGUAGCUUGAAUCAGGUCGAGGUGGAUGGAAUAUUACAUGUAGCGGUGAAAUGCUUAGAUAUGUAAGAGAACACCGAUUGCGAAGGCAGUUCACUAGGCCUGUAUUGACACUGAGGCACGAAAGCGUGGGGAUCAAACAGGAUUAGAUACCCUUGUAGUC
rnacentral:rRNA from 1 species